UACGUAGGGGGCAAGCGUUGUCCGGAUUUAUUGGGCGUAAAGAGCGUGUAGGCGGCCUGAAAGGUCAGCUGUGAAAACUCGAGGCUCAACCUCGAGACGUCGGUUGAAACCAUCUGGCUAGAGUCCGGAAGAGGAGUGUGGAAUUCCCGGGUGUAGCGGUGAAAUGCGCAGAUAUCGGGAAGAACACCCGUGGCGAAGGCGGCACUCUGGGACGGUACUGGACGGCUGAGACGGCGAAAAGCUGGGGGGGGCAAACAGG
rnacentral:rRNA from 1 species